UGGGGAAUUUUGGACAAUGGGGGCAACCCUGAUCCAGCCAUGCCGCGUGAGUGAAGAAGGCCUUCGGGUUGUAAAGCUCUGUCAGCCGGAAAGAAAUCGCGCAGGAUAAUACUCUGCGUGGAUGACGGUACCGGAAGAAGAAGCACCGGCUAACUACGUGCCAGCAGCCGCGGUAAUACGCAGUGUGCGAGCGCUAAUCGGAAUUACUGGGCGUAAAGGGUGCGUAGGCGGCGAUGUAAGACAGAUGUGAAAUCCCCGGGCUCAACCUGGGAACUGCGUUUGUGACUGGCUAACUAGAGUUCGGCAGAGGGAGGUGGAAUUCCGGGUGUAGCGGUGAAAUGCGUAGAGAUGCGGAGGAACACCGAUGGCGAAGGCAGCCUCCUGGGCCAGUACUGACGCUCAUGCACGAAAGCGUGGGGAGCAAACA
rnacentral:rRNA from 1 species